CAUACAUAUGCGUAUAUAUAUAUAUAUAGAUAUAAUAAUAGUAAUAUAAUAUAAUAAUGACAAAAGGGCCAAUUUAAAACUUAAAACAGUGAUUUGGGGCAAAUCCACAAUUACAAUAAACAAAAUUGGAGCAAAUUAAAAUAUGCGCAACAGGAGAAGGACCGGAAGGGAAAUUUUCCCAAACCUCCCACACACUGCGUUUAAAAGGGGUUAAAAUAAUAAAAUUGGAAACCAAUGGGGUAAAUUCAGAAAACUAUAGAAACAAAUUAAAGCAAUAAAACAAAUCAAGAGGAUCAAAAACACAAGUAUCCCAUUGGGAUAAAACAUGCGGGCUGUAAGAAGAAGGAAAGAAAAGUUGCUUCAUUUUUCUCCUUUGCUCCUCACAUUGGCAUUCUCCCCUUUUUUUUCAACUCCGAUUCAAACCAAGCGCAGCGAGAGCAUCAACGACAUGCCGCCAUCGGUACAUGCUUGUAUGGGAAUUGCUGCGACGUGGGGCAUGCUAGGCGCUGGAGGUUGCUGAGACGUGGGAUGUUGUUGCGAGGGAAGAACGUGGGCAGUUGCGGCAUAGGGCGAUGGUGGCGUCAAGGCUCUCUGCUGGUUAGGCUUGGGAUUUGGGUUGGUGACUUGGGCUUGUAAUGGGUUUGGGCCUUAGGCUUAGUUGGGCCCGGGCAAUAAUUGGGUAUUACAUACAUGUUAUAGGUUCAAGGAAUAAAUUGAAUAAAAGUAAAUUUUUAGGGUAAUUUUGUAAAAAUGUCAAAAAUGACCAAAUUGCAUGAAAUAAAUUGUUUUAUUAUUUAAGUUAAUAAA